rnacentral:sRNA from 1 species
UUGGAGGGCAAGUCUGGUGCCAGCAGCCGCGGUAAUUCCAGCUCCAAUAGCGUAUAUUAAAGUUGUUGCAGUUAAAAAGCUCGUAGUUGAAUUUCGAGAUCAAAUUGUUGGUCGUGCCUUGGUACGUACUGGCAUUAUUGGUUUCUCCCUUCUGAAGAACCAUGAUGUCAUUAAUUUGGUGUCAUGGGGAAUCAGGACUGUUACUUUGAAAAAAUUAGAGUGUUUAAAGCAGGCUCGCGCUUGAAUACAUUAGCAUGGAAUAAUGAAAUAGGACGUUUAAUUCUAUUUUGUUGGUUUCUAGGAUUGACGUAAUGAUUAAUAGGGAUAGUUGGG